UGCAGUCGUACGAGAAAAUCUCUUCGGAGAUGAGUAAAGUGGCGCACGGGUGAGUAACGCGUGGGUAAUCUGCCCUUAGGUUUGGGAUAACCCCGGGAAACCGGAGCUAAUACCGAAUGAGACCACGAUGACUUCGGUCGAUGUGGGAAAAGGUGGCCUCUUCUUGAAAGCUAUCGCCAAAGGAUGAGCCCGCGUUUGAUUAGCUAGUUGGUGAGGUAAUGGCUCACCAAGGCGACGAUCAAUAGCUGGUCUGAGAGGAUGAUCAGCCACACUGGAACUGAGAUACGGUCCAGACUCCUACGGGAGGCAGCAGUCAGGAAUAUUGGGCAAUGGGCGAAAGCCUGACCCAGCAACGCCGCGUGAAGGAUGAAGGCCUUCGGGUCGUAAACUUCUGUCGAGAGGGAAGAAUGUGUACGGGUGAACAAUCCGUGCAUUUGACGGUACCUCCAAAGGAAGCACCGGCUAACUCCGUGCCAGCAGCCGCGGUAAUACGGAGGGUGCAAGCGUUGUUCGGAUUCAUUGGGCGUAAAGCGAGCGUAGGCGGUUUGACAAGUCGGAUGUGAAAUCCCGGGGCCCAACCCCGGAACUGCAUCCGAUACUGUCUGGCUAGAGUCCCGGAGAGGGUGGCGGAAUUCCCGGUGUAGGGGUGAAAUCCGUAGAUAUCGGGAGGAACACCAGUGGCGAAGGCGGCCACCUGGACGGUGACUGACGCUGAGACUCGAAAGCGUGGGUAGCAAACAGGAUUAGAUACCCUGGUAGUCCACGCUGUAAACGGUGAGUGCUCGUCGUCGUGGGUAUUGACCCCUGCGGUGACCAAGUUAACACAUGAAGCACUCCGCCUGGGAAGUACGGUCGCAAGACUAAAACUCAAAGAAAUUGACGGGGGCCCGCACAAGCGGUGGAGCAUGUUGUUUAAUUCGAAGCAACGCGCAGAACCUUACCUGGAUUUGACAUCUCUGGAAUCCUCCUGAAAGGGAGGAGUGCCUUCGGGAGCCAGAAGACAGGUGCUGCAUGGCUGUCGUCAGCUCGUGUCGUG
rnacentral:rRNA from 1 species